AGACCCGAAACCCGGUGAUCUAGCCAUGGGCAGGUUGAAGGUUGGGUAACACUAACUGGAGGACCGAACCGACUAAUGUUGAAAAAUUAGCGGAUGACCUGUGGCUGGGGGUGAAAGGCCAAUCAAACCGGGAGAUAGCUGGUUCUCCCCGAAAGCUAUUUAGGUAGCGCCUCGUGAAUUCAUCUCCGGGGGUAGAGCACUGUUUCGGCUAGGGGGCCAUCCCGGCUUACCAACCCGAUGCAAACUGCGAAUACCGGAGAAUGUUAUCACGGGAGACACACGGCGGGUGCUAACGUCCGUCGUGAAGAGGGAAACAACCCAGACCGCCAGCUAAGGUCCCAAAGUCAUGGUUAAGUGGGAAACGAUGUGGGAAGGCCCAGACAGCCAGGAUGUUGGCUUAGAAGCAGCCAUCAUUUAAAGAAAGCGUAAUAGCUCACUGGUCGAGUCGGCCUGCGCGGAAGAUGUAACGGGGCUAAACCAUGCACCGAAGCUGCGGCAGCGACGCUUAUGCGUUGUUGGGUAGGGGAGCGUUCUGUAAGCCUGUGAAGGUGGCCUGUGAGGGUUGCUGGAGGUAUCAGAAGUGCGAAUGCUGACAUAAGUAACGAUAAAGCGGGUGAAAAGCCCGCUCGCCGGAAGACCAAGGGUUCCUGUCCAACGUUAAUCGGGGCAGGGUGAGUCGACCCCUAAGGCGAGGCCGAAAGGCGUAGUCGAUGGGAAACGGGUUAAUAUUCCCGUACUUGGUGUUACUGCGAAGGGGGGACGGAGAAGGCUAUGUUGGCCGGGCGACGGUUGUCCCGGUUUAAGCGUGUAGGUGUGUGUUCCAGGUAAAUCCGGUUCACUUUAACACUGAGGCGUGACGACGAGGCACUACGGUGCUGAAGCAACAAAUGCCCUGCUUCCAGGAAAAGCCUCUAAGCAUCAGGUAACAUCAAAUCGUACCCCAAACCGACACAGGUGGUCAGGUAGAGAAUACCAAGGCGCUUGAGAGAACUCGGGUGAAGGAACUAGGCAAAAUGGUGCCGUAACUUCGGGAGAAGGCACGCUGACAUGUAGGUGAAGUGAUUUACUCACGGAGCUGAAGUCAGUCGAAGAUACCAGCUGGCUGCAACUGUUUAUUAAAAACACAGCACUGUGCAAACACGAAAGUGGACGUAUACGGUGUGACGCCUGCCCGGUGCCGGAAGGUUAAUUGAUGGGGUCAGCGCAAGCGAAGCUCCUGAUCGAAGCCCCGGUAAACGGCGGCCGUAACUAUAACGGUCCUAAGGUAGCGAAAUUCCUUGUCGGGUAAGUUCCGACCUGCACGAAUGGCGUAAUGAUGGCCAGGCUGUCUCCACCCGAGACUCAGUGAAAUUGAACUCGCUGUGAAGAUGCAGUGUACCCGCGGCAAGACGGAAAGACCCCGUGAACCUUUACUAUAGCUUGACACUGAACAUUGAGCCUUGAUGUGUAGGAUAGGUGGGAGGCUUUGAAGUGUGGACGCCAGUCUGCAUGGAGCCGACCUUGAAAUACCACCCUUUAAUGUUUGAUGUUCUAACGUGGACCCGUAAUCCGGGUUGCGGACAGUGUCUGGUGGGUAGUUUGACUGGGGCGGUCUCCUCCUAAAGAGUAACGGAGGAGCACGAAGGUUGGCUAAUCCUGGUCGGACAUCAGGAGGUUAGUGCAAUGGCAUAAGCCAGCUUGACUGCGAGCGUGACGGCGCGAGCAGGUGCGAAAGCAGGUCAUAGUGAUCCGGUGGUUCUGAAUGGAAGGGCCAUCGCUCAACGGAUAAAAGGUACUCCGGGGAUAACAGGCUGAUACCGCCCAAGAGUUCAUAUCGACGGCGGUGUUUGGCACCUCGAUGUCGGCUCAUCACAUCCUGGGGCUGAAGUAGGUCCCAAGGGUAUGGCUGUUCGCCAUUUAAAGUGGUACGCGAGCUGGGUUUAGAACGUCGUGAGACAGUUCGGUCCCUAUCUGCCGUGGGCGCUGGAGAACUGAGGGGGGCUGCUCCUAGUACGAGAGGACCGGAGUGGACGCAUCACUGGUGUUCGGGUUGUCAUGCCAAUGGCACUGCCCGGUAGCUAAAUGCGGAAGAGAUAAGUGCUGAAAGCAUCUAAGCACGAAACUUGCCCCGAGAUGAGUUCUCCCUGAGACUUAGAGUCUCCUGAAGGAACGUUGAAGACGACGACGUUGAUAGGCCGGGUGUGUAAGCGCAGCGAUGCGUUGAGCUAACCGGUACUAAUGAACCGUGAGGCUUAACCUUACAACGCCGAAG
rnacentral:rRNA from 1 species